rnacentral:rRNA from 1 species
GGUUAAGCGACUAAGCGUACACGGUGGAUGCCCUGGCAGUCAGAGGCGAUGAAGGGCGUGCUAAUCUGCGAUAAGCGCCGGUAAGGUGAUAUGAACCGUUAUAACCGGCGAUACCCGAAUGGGGAAACCCAGUGUGAUUCGUCACACUAUCAUUAACUGAAUCCAUAGGUUAAUGAGGCGAACCGGGGGAACUGAAACAUCUAAGUACCCCGAGGAAAAGAAAUCAACCGAGAUUCCCCCAGUAGCGGCGAGCGAACGGGGAGGAGCCCAGAGCCUGAAUCAGCAUGUGUGUUAGUGGAAGCGUCUGGAAAGGUGCGCGAUACAGGGUGACAGCCCCGUACACAAAAGCGCAUGUGCUGUGAGCUCGAUGAGUAGGGCGGGACACGUGGUAUCCUGUCUGAAUAUGGGGGGACCAUCCUCCAAGGCUAAAUACUCCUGACUGACCGAUAGUGAACCAGUACCGUGAGGGAAAGGCGAAAAGAACCCCGGCGAGGGGAGUGAAAAAGAACCUGAAACCGUGUACGUACAAGCAGUGGGAGCACAGGUUUACCUGUGUGACUGCGUACCUUUUGUAUAAUGGGUCAGCGACUUAUAUUCUGUAGCAAGGUUAACCGUAUAGGGGAGCCGGAGGGAAACCGAGUCUUAAUUGGGCGUUAAGUUGCAGGGUAUAGACCCGAAACCCGGUGAUCUAGCCAUGGGCAGGUUGAAGGUUGGGUAACACUAACUGGAGGACCGAACCGACUAAUGUUGAAAAAUUAGCGGAUGACCUGUGGCUGGGGGUGAAAGGCCAAUCAAACCGGGAGAUAGCUGGUUCUCCCCGAAAGCUAUUUAGGUAGCGCCUCGUGAAUUCAUCUCCGGGGGUAGAGCACUGUUUCGGCUAGGGGGCCAUCCCGGCUUACCAACCCGAUGCAAACUGCGAAUACCGGAGAAUGUUAUCACGGGAGACACACGGCGGGUGCUAACGUCCGUCGUGAAGAGGGAAACAACCCAGACCGCCAGCUAAGGUCCCAAAGUCAUGGUUAAGUGGGAAACGAUGUGGGAAGGCCCAGACAGCCAGGAUGUUGGCUUAGAAGCAGCCAUCAUUUAAAGAAAGCGUAAUAGCUCACUGGUCGAGUCGGCCUGCGCGGAAGAUGUAACGGGGCUAAACCAUGCACCGAAGCUGCGGCAGCGACGCUGAUGCGUUGUUGGGUAGGGGAGCGUUCUGUAAGCCUGCGAAGGUGACCUGUGAGGGUUGCUGGAGGUAUCAGAAGUGCGAAUGCUGACAUAAGUAACGAUAAAGCGGGUGAAAAGCCCGCUCGCCGGAAGACCAAGGGUUCCUGUCCAACGUUAAUCGGGGCAGGGUGAGUCGACCCCUAAGGCGAGGCCGAAAGGCGUAGUCGAUGGGAAACGGGUUAAUAUUCCCGUACUUGGUGUUACUGCGAAGGGGGGACGGAGAAGGCUAUGUUGGCCGGGCGACGGUUGUCCCGGUUUAAGCGUGUAGGUGUGUGUUCCAGGUAAAUCCGGUUCACUUUAACACUGAGGCGUGACGACGAGGCACUACGGUGCUGAAGCAACAAAUGCCCUGCUUCCAGGAAAAGCCUCUAAGCAUCAGGUAACACGAAAUCGUACCCCAAACCGACACAGGUGGUCAGGUAGAGAAUACCAAGGCGCUUGAGAGAACUCGGGUGAAGGAACUAGGCAAAAUGGUGCCGUAACUUCGGGAGAAGGCACGCUGACACGUAGGUGAAGUGAUUUACUCAUGGAGCUGAAGUCAGUCGAAGAUACCAGCUGGCUGCAACUGUUUAUUAAAAACACAGCACUGUGCAAACACGAAAGUGGACGUAUACGGUGUGACGCCUGCCCGGUGCCGGAAGGUUAAUUGAUGGGGUCAGCGCAAGCGAAGCUCCUGAUCGAAGCCCCGGUAAACGGCGGCCGUAACUAUAACGGUCCUAAGGUAGCGAAAUUCCUUGUCGGGUAAGUUCCGACCUGCACGAAUGGCGUAAUGAUGGCCAGGCUGUCUCCACCCGAGACUCAGUGAAAUUGAACUCGCUGUGAAGAUGCAGUGUACCCGCGGCAAGACGGAAAGACCCCGUGAACCUUUACUAUAGCUUGACACUGAACAUUGAGCCUUGAUGUGUAGGAUAGGUGGGAGGCUUUGAAGUGUGGACGCCAGUCUGCAUGGAGCCGACCUUGAAAUACCACCCUUUAAUGUUUGAUGUUCUAACGUGGACCCGUAAUCCGGGUUGCGGACAGUGUCUGGUGGGUAGUUUGACUGGGGCGGUCUCCUCCUAAAGAGUAACGGAGGAGCACGAAGGUUGGCUAAUCCUGGUCGGACAUCAGGAGGUUAGUGCAAUGGCAUAAGCCAGCUUGACUGCGAGCGUGACGGCGCGAGCAGGUGCGAAAGCAGGUCAUAGUGAUCCGGUGGUUCUGAAUGGAAGGGCCAUCGCUCAACGGAUAAAAGGUACUCCGGGGAUAACAGGCUGAUACCGCCCAAGAGUUCAUAUCGACGGCGGUGUUUGGCACCUCGAUGUCGGCUCAUCACAUCCUGGGGCUGAAGUAGGUCCCAAGGGUAUGGCUGUUCGCCAUUUAAAGUGGUACGCGAGCUGGGUUUAGAACGUCGUGAGACAGUUCGGUCCCUAUCUGCCGUGGGCGCUGGAGAACUGAGGGGGGCUGCUCCUAGUACGAGAGGACCGGAGUGGACGCAUCACUGGUGUUCGGGUUGUCAUGCCAAUGGCACUGCCCGGUAGCUAAAUGCGGAAGAGAUAAGUGCUGAAAGCAUCUAAGCACGAAACUUGCCCCGAGAUGAGUUCUCCCUGAGACUUAGAGUCUCCUGAAGGAACGUUGAAGACGACGACGUUGAUAGGCCGGGUGUGUAAGCGCAGCGAUGCGUUGAGCUAACCGGUACUAAUGAACCGUGAGGCUUAACCUU